rnacentral:rRNA from 1 species
AUUGAACGCUGGCGGCAGGCCUAACACAUGCAAGUCGAGCGGAGCGGCGGACGGGCGAGUAAUGUCUAUGAGUCAGCCUGGUUGUGGGGGGUAACGUCCGGCGACGAGCGGUAAUAACGCAUACUUUCAGAUGAGUCUAGGUCGGAUUAGCUAGUUGGUGGGGUAAAGGCCUACCAAGGCGACGAUCCGUACCUGGUCUGAGAGGAUGAUCAGUCACACUGGAACUGAGACACGGUCCAGACUCCUACGGGAGGCAGCAGUGGGGAAUAUUGGACAAUGGGCGAAAGCCUGAUCCAGCCAUGCCGCGUGUGUGAAGAAGGUCUUCGGAUUGUAAAGCACUUUAAGUUGGGAGGCGUUACCAACAGAAUAAGCACCGGCUAACUUCGUGCCAGCAGCCGCGGUAAUAC